ACGGCGGCCGUAACUAUAACGGUCCUAAGGUAGCGAAAUUCCUUGUCGGGUAAGUUCCGACCCGCACGAAUAGCGUAACGACAGCCAUACUGUCUCCACGAAGGACUCGGCGAAAUUGUGGUCGUGGUGAAGACGCCACGUUCCCGCACCAAGACGGAAAGACCCCGUGAACCUUUACUAUAACCUAAUACUGGCUCUAGGUUUGUCAUGUGUAGCAUAGGUGGGAGACGUUUAUGCCGGCGGCGCUAGCCGUCGGAUAGUCGCAAUGUGAAAUACCACUCUUGGCAUAUUUGGAGUCUAACCUGUGACCGUUAUCCGGCAUGGGAACAGUGUUAGGCGGGUAGUUUGACUGGGGCGGUCUCCUCCUAAAGAGUAGCGGAGGAGUGCAAAGGUACACUCAGAGCGGUUGGUAAUCGCUUGUAGAGCGUAAAGGUAUAAGUGUGCUUGACUGCGAGACAUAUAGGUCGAGCAGGUACGAAAGUAGGUCUUAGUGAUCCGGUGGUCCCGUGUGGAAGGGCCAUCGCUCAUCAGAUAAAAGGUACUCCGGGGAUAACAGGCUGAUCACGCCCAAGAGUCCAUAUCGACGGCGUGGUUUGGCACCUCGAUGUCGGCUCAUCACAUCCUGGGGCUGUAGCCGGUCCCAAGGGUAUGGCUGUUCGCCAUUUAAAGUGGUACGCGAGCUGGGUUUAGAACGUCGUGAGACAGUUCGGUCCCUAUCUGCCGUGGGCGUUUGAAACUUGAGGGAAUCUGCUCCUAGUACGAGAGGACCGGAGUGGACGAUCCGCUGGUGUUCCGGUUGUAUCGCCAGAUGCAUUGCCGGGUAGCUAUGAUCGGUCGGGAUAACCGCUGAAAGCAUCUAAGCGGGAAGCCCCUCCCAAGAUUAGGUUUCACUGGACCCUUGAGGUCCCUGUAGGGCCCUGGAAGACUACCAGGUUGAUAGGCUGGGUGUGGAAGCGCGGUAACGCGUGAAGCUAACCAGUACUAAUUGCCCGUGAGGCUUGGUCAUAUAACACUAAAGC
rnacentral:rRNA from 1 species